AUCGAAUAAACUUGAACAGGCUGUUGCUGGUCCCAGGACAAUGUGCACGCUUGUCAUCUUUGUCAUUUCUCCAACUGUGCACGUAUUGUAGACCUUGGGAUGGAAUUCGUUCCGAGUGGGGACUGCUGUGCUUCAAAAGAGGUCGGCUUUCCCUUCUACCCUUUUCCAGGCCUAUGUCUUGUCUCUUGUGUGUUUAUGAGGAUAUAAUGUUUAAACAAAUAAACUUUCAUUAACAAAUAUUUUGGCUCUCGGAUCUCUGGACACUCCCAUCAAUGGCGAACACAACUGAGUGUUGCAAAAUUCGUGGAUUCCUCAAAUCUUUGAACCCUCCAAGCUCUCCAUGCAUUUUGCACUACUUGGCCUGCUUAAGAGCAUGUCAGACCUCUCGACAUUUAAACCACUCAUCACCACAUGGAUUCAUUUCUACGGGCUUUUGCACGCUUUCUUUGCUGAGGCUGUUCCUCUGAAAUGCUGCUCCGCUGAAAGGCAUCAGUGCCGCUAGGAGCGAAAACCUCUACGAGUGAUAACAUCUUCUACGCCUGUGCUAUGCCCAGCAUGCGAUGCU
rnacentral:misc_RNA from 1 species